rnacentral:tRNA from 1 species
AUUUAAGUAGUUUAAUAAAAACUUUGACUUGUGGCGUCAAAUAUGUAAUUUAAUUACCUUAAAUU